rnacentral:snRNA from 1 species
UCACUCUAGUUUCUCUUCAAAACGUAUAAAUCUUUCGCCUUUUACUAAAGAUUUCCGUGGAGGGGAACAAGAUAACGAGUCUUCAGACUAAUUUUUCGUUUGCCCUGCCUUCGAGGCGG